AAUGGGCGCAAGCCUGAUCCAGCCAUGCCGCGUGUCUGAAGAAGGCCUUCGGGUUGUAAAGGACUUUUGUCAGGGAGCAAAACUUACUGGUUAAUACCUGGUGAGGUUGAGAGUACCUGAAGAAUAAGCACCGGCUAACUACGUGCCAGCAGCCGCGGUAAUACGUAGGGUGCAAGCGUUAAUCGGAAUUACUGGGCGUAAAGCGUGCGCAGGCGGACUUUUAAGCCAGAUGUGAAAGCCCCGAGCUUAACUUGGGAAUUGCGUUUGGAACUGGGAGUCUAGAGUCUGUCAGAGGGGGAUGGAAUUCCACGUGUAGCAGUGAAAUGCGUAGAGAUGUGGAGGAACACCGAUGGCGAAGGCAGUCCCCUGGGAUAAGACUGACGCUCAUGCACGAAAGCGUGGGGAGCAAA
rnacentral:rRNA from 1 species